AGGUGUACUCUGAAGUGGAUGAGUGUUGUAAAGCAUUGUCACAGCGCCUUGGUGAUCAGUAUUAUUUUUUCUUAGACAGACCGACUGAGUUAGAUGCACUGGUAUUCGGUCAUGUAUAUACAUUACUAACAACACGACAGAUUAGUCGGAAGUUUGCAGAAAUCAUUGAGACGUAUCCGAAUUUGAUUCGAUUUUGUCAACGAAUUGAGAAAAAGUACUUUGAAGAAAAAGAACUUCCUGGGUAGAUGGAGAUUUUUUUAUCAUCUUUUGGUUGUCAUGACAGCAGAUGGGUGUACGUUAUGUUAUCCAGCAUUAUGAGGUUAUGUAUUAUUAAAGUACAUAGUAUUAGCUACGGUUAUAUAGUAUUUUUAUUAAUACCUGGCAAACAUUGACCAGUGUUUCUGACACCAUUUCAGUUCUAUAGUGCCACUCAUGUAUGAACAUCAAAUUAGAACCCCAGUUUGUGUUUUUUGAUUGUUUAUCUUUGAAUGUGGACUGUUACAUUGUAAGUAAUAUGAAUAAAAAAGAUGAUUUUCUUGAAA